rnacentral:rRNA from 1 species
CCUACGGGGGGCAGCAGUGAGGAAUAUUGGUCAAUGGGCGCGAGCCUGAACCAGCCAAGUAGCGUGAAGGAUGACUGUCCUACGGGUUGUAAACCUCUUUUAUAAAGGAAUAAAGUCAGGCACGUGUCCCUUGUUGUAUGUACUUUAUGAAUAAGGAUCGGCUAACUCCGUGCCAGCAGCCGCGGUAAUACGGAGGAUCCGAGCGUUAUCCGGAUUUAUUGGGUUUAAAGGGAGCGGAGAUGGGUUGUUAAGUCAGUUGUGAAAGUUUGCGGCUCAACCGUAAAACUGCAGUUGAUACUGGCAGCCUUGAGUACAGUUGAGGUAGGCGGAAUGCGUGGUGUAGCGGUGAAAUGCUUAGAUAUCACGAAGAACUCCGAUUGCGAAGGCAGCUUACUAACCUGCCACUGACAUUGAUGCUCGAAAGUGUGGGUAUCGAACAGGAUUAGAUACCCGAGUAGUC